rnacentral:rRNA from 1 species
AUUGAACGCUGGCGGCAGGCCUAACACAUGCAAGUCGAACGCGUGGCGGCCGGGUGAGUAAUGUCUGGGAAACUGCCUGACGGAGGGGGAUAACAACUGGAAACGUUAGCUAAUACCGCCUACCAUCAGAUCUGCCUGGAUGGGAUGAGCUAGUUGGUGGGGUAACGGCUCACCAAGGCGAAUAUCCCUAGCUGGUCUGAGAGGAUGACCACACAAACUGGAACUGAGACACGGUCCAGACUCCUACGGGAGGCAGCAGUGGGGAAUAUUGCGCAAUGGACGCAAGUCUGAUGCAGCAAUGCCGCGUGAAUUAAGAAGGACUACGGGUUGUAAAGUACUUUUAGCAGUGAGGCGGUACCCCAAGAAUAAGCAACGGCUAACGACGUGCCAGCAGCCGCGGUAAUAC